UGGCUGAGGUCGGGGAGAGCUUGCAGCCCUCGCCCUGGGUGCAGCCGCUGGGAGCACUUCAGUCCGGUGCAGGGAGCAGCAAAUGGAAACCCGGCGCGGUUUUUUAAACAGUGACUUCUCUCAAGCGUUUUCAUAAUGAAACGCUGUUUGGCAGUCUUGUAACUUCCUCAAGUGUUUUUGUGAAACCUGCAGAUAGAAGAAUGUGAAGAAAAUGGAAAGCUACUGGGGUUUUGCAGUCAUGCUCUUUGAAUGGUCGUGCUGACCUUCAUCCUACUCAGGUGGCAGGAGGCUGCCUGUGUGUUUAGAAGCUGAAAAUAAGCACAGGCAAAUUAAAAAAAAUACAGGGUUGUCUGCACUGUUUUACACCAGCAACUAAUUUUGUGGCUUUUAUGUAGGGCUGUAUUUUCGAAAUUAAAUAGCUUGGGUUUGGCUGUCUGAGCUCCAGGCAUUCCCUGUGAUAUAUAAACACGGCUCUUCAGAGGUCCUGAAGAUUUGCAGUUCAAUUUCACUAAUACCAGUGGGGACUACGCUGGGCCUUAGCUGACUAAUAUAAUUCUAAUUAGUCCUUGCUUUUGACUCUGGUUUUAUUUUAUUUGCCAGAGGAAGAAAACAGUAUGUUUCCUUGUAAGCAAAGUAGAAGCCUUCCUGUUAAAAGUUGUGCUUUUAGUGGAAAGCUCAGUUUAACAAUUUGUAAAGAGCGUAACUAUUUUUCCUCAGUCCUUGCACCAGUGAACAGCUGUGACUUGGUCAGUGGGUUUGAAAGCAGUUACUGCAUUGUAAAGUGUGUGUAUGUUUUAAGAUGAGCACUUUGAUAUACCGUUUCUCCUAAAGGACUCCAUUUCACCGGAUAAUGCCAAGUGAAAAUUCAUGUUAUGGUUGUACAAACAAGAGCAUCUUGAAAAUUGUGGAGCUGCAUACAAGCAAAUGUCAGAUGACAGCUUCUCAUUCCUCAACACAGCUACCACGUGUCAUUGAUGUUGUCUGCUAUUGAAAGAAUGCAAACAAAAUGUGUGCAGAAAAAAAACUGCACAUGGACACAUCCAGGUUCCUGGCACACCUGCCUCUUCUGUUGCCUUCAGUGGAGGAAUCAGUUAUUACUCUGAAAAGAGGAACUGAGGAGGAUGUCUGCAUUUGAGUGUCUGCAGGGUGUCUACAUUUGAGUAAGAUGGUGUUUCCUCAUAUGUGCAUUCUCUUUUUCAGUCUCCAGCUGUUUCAUAUCAUACCCAGUGUAUACACCAGCCAUCUUCCAGCCCUGGUCCUACUGCUGCAGCAGGCAGACCUCAGUCUCUGUAGACUCUGGAGAGUAUCUAGCCUCUCUACUUUUCCUUCUUACUUUUUGUCCAUCAGUCAUCUCUUUAUUCCUGCUUGUUAUCUGCCGAUCUACCCAUACAUUCUCUCUAAUUGUAGUCCCUUCCUAACAUUCUCCUAUUCUUACAUUCCUAUACUUGCUUGCAAAUGGCUGGAGAAUCCUAAUGGUAUAAGUGUGAUGAAUUUACCAGUCAAAAAUAAUGUUAAAAUUAAGUUUAAAAAAAAAAAUAAAUAAGAAAUUAAAGUGAAGAGCAUAUGUUAUGCUCCCCACUUGCUGCCACCAUCUUUUGUAUGCAGGAGUUCACAUUUGGUUCUGUUUUCCUUCCCUUCUACAUUUACAUUUCCUCCACGCACACACAUAUGUUUUCCUUUCUCCAAUCAAUGGUAAGACUUAGCUGCUUAAAUAAAACCACUAGUCUAUUUGUGGGUGUGUAGAAGUAACAUUCAAAAAGAAAAUACCAUCAAUUUUAUCUAUGUAU